ACCUGGGUGGCUCAGUCGGUUAAGCAUCUGACUUCAGCUCAGGUCAUGAUGUCACAGUCUGUGAGUUCGAGCCCCACAUCAGGCU
rnacentral:tRNA from 1 species